rnacentral:lncRNA from 1 species
AGUUACGUCACGCGGCAGCCAGGAGGGGCGGGGCAGAACGCUCGCUUUGGCUGCGGGAGUGAGUGUGAGUGUGAGAGCAAGAACAGCCCGCAGGUCCCGAGGCGCUUGCAGGGGACUCUGCCGCGGAAAGUUCCCAGUCCCCAGCCGCAGAAGCUUUUUAUUUUUGGUUGAUUCCUGCUGUCUACUCCUCUUGGAUGCCUUUGUGAAACUGCUUCUAUCUGAGAAGGAGGAGUUGCCAUUUAGCAAGUAGUAGGUGGUACCGUGUGUGGCAGAGUCCGAUGUGUUACACCACGAGGACAUUCAUCUUUGCAAUUGGUGAAGUCCUUCUACCUAGUUCCCCUUCCUUGUGCACAGAAGAGGACUGGAAAACUCCUCACAGGACUGCAUACUGCUAUCUCUGAGAAACCAGAAAGAAGAAAGUACCUCUUCCUUCCAAGCUUCUACCUAAGAGUAUACUGGAAGGUUUACCUAGAGCAACAAGACAACGAAAUGGAUUGUCCUUCUCACGCUAGUCCACACACAAUCCUCAUCAUUUUGAUAAGAUAGCAUGAAGUCUCUUAUCGCUUGUGGAUCCAGCACUUUGGUUCAGGUUCAUCUGCCCAUAAUUCUCUAAGAUUUGGAGCUGUUGAGGAGUGGCUCAUAGUAGACACUGAACCAUCAGCCAACAGCAUUUGUUGUCCUGGAUGUCUGUGCCAACCUUUCGAGUCACACUGGGGUCUAAAGACACACCUGGAAUAAAAAUCAGAAUGCUUAAGAAACUUAAUAUGAUCUGCGGGAGAAUACAUGAGGUUUUUGUUUCAUACCACAGUCUGAUGACAGCAUGGAUUUCAACUGAUGAUGUUCACCUUUGCCUCUUGGGUCAAUAUGUGAGCUCAGAGAUUUCCCUGCUUUUGUUCUGUCAUUAUGGAUUCUAAACUUCUGAAACUACAUACUCAAUUAAAUGUUUUCUUUUAUAAAUUAUAUUAGUCAUGGUGUUUUAUUACAGCAACUGAAAAGAAUUUAAUACAUUUAUCCAUAAAAUGCUAUAUUUGUUAAUCUCUUUCUAUGUGAAUGAUCUCAUUUUCUAAGUAGCAUUCAGUAGUAUUUGUAUGGAUCAUUUUAUUUUUGUCUUGAAAACACUUGGCCAAAAUUGUUUAGGUAGGAAAGCAACUUUACUCUCUUACUAUAGCUUCAUUAUAAAAUAAAUAUAAUUUAAUGUUAUA